ACCCCCGUCUUCUGCACCUGUCUUCAGGCUGCGGCUGAGGCCAGCUUUAUGUAUAUGAAGCCCCAAGUCAGUGGCAGAUAAAGGCGCUGCCACAGAGCCCAGCUGUCCCUCUCCCCCAAGAAGGGUUCAGGGCAGGGCCUCCCCGGGAGAAAUGGGGGCCUGGGGCAGACAGAAGUCAAGCAGGACUUGGCAUUUCUGCCCAUCCAUCACCAGCUCCCCAGAGAGGUGCCUUCCCGCCAGUCAGACGUUUUUGAGAAACCAGUCAUCUCACCCAAGUUCAAGGCCCCAUUAGAACAGGCAAAGGGACUGGGCCACGGUGCUCAUUCCCUGGUACCGCAGCGGUGGCGGGAACUGUAGGCACCUGGGUGUCCAUUCGAACCUCCGGGGUGUAGGGAGUAGGAGCAGGGGCCUUGGCCAACUCCUAAGUGGUAGGGGACCAGGGAGUGCCCCUGGGAGGAUGGGGCAAGUGACCCUCCCUGUCUUUGUGUCAGUGCAACGGGAUGUCCAACCGCUUCUGGGGCUGGGGCCGCGAAGACGACGAGUUCUACCGGCGCAUCAAAGGGGCCGGGCUGCAGCUUUUCCGCCCCUCGGGAAUCACAACUGGGUACAAGACAUUUCGCCACCUGCAUGACCCAGCCUGGCGGAAGAGGGACCAGAAGCGCAUCGCAGCUCAGAAACAGGAGCAAUUCAAGGUGGACCGGGAGGGUGGCCUGAGCACCGUGAAGUACCGCGUAGAUUCCCGCACCGCCCUGUCGGUUAGCGGGGCCCCCUGCACUGUUCUCAACAUCCUGUUGGACUGUGACAAGGCUGCCACCCCCUGGUGCACGUUUGGCUGAGCCGGCGUGACAGUAAGGAAGCCUGUGCCCACAGGCCACGCAGCUCCUCAGGCCCGGGACCCAACUCCAGUAGGAUGCGGAGGGGCCCGAGACAGCGGAUAGCAGGCCACCCAUUGCAGCAGCCCGGCCCCCCAGGGACAGGCUGGAGCCGGGACAGGACACACCCUUGGGUGCCUGGGAUGCUGCUAGCAAGAAACAGUGACGGAGAGGCUGGAAUGCAGCUCCCACCUGGGACCAGCCACCCCCUUCCUGCUUGCCCUGCUCUGCCCGCCUUCGCGUGCUCAGACCUCAGGGCUUUUGGUUCCUUCCCCUGGACCGCCUCGUGCAGAAGCCGAUCCGGACGGUCAGAACUGCAGGAACCGGCGUGCAGGUCCCACAGAAAGGGAGCGGGCCCCAUGUGGCCGGAUCUUCCGAUGUUUUCAAAAGAAACUAGAAUUCUGGAUCCUUAAGUGAAAUCGGGUACUUUUUAAACGCUAGCAACUAACUGAAACUUCAGAAAAGGAUGGCGGGCCAAACAACACGUGUUGUGGACCACCAGUUUGUCGCCUGUGACCGAGCGGAGGGGGAGGGGGCAAAAGAUGGCACUUCUCUUAGAGAUAAGCUGGCAAGGGGUUGGGACAGGACUGGGGAUGCCAAGGCCAGAGGAAGCUCAGAUGGGAGAGAAGCCAAAGAGUAAGGUUCCUGCCACAUCCCACAGCCGUCCAGGCUUCGCUGCCCUUCCGGCAGUCGUUCCCGGGGCCCUGAUGGGCUCCAGCUCUGGGGUGGGGGCACUUCAUUGUGCCACACUGGGAUGGACAGACAGAUCCACAGGCCUGGGCUCAGGGUAGGCAGAAGGUGCCGGCAAGGACCUGGUCGUAGCUUGAGGGUGGGAGGACCACGUUUCUGAGGAGGGAAGAAGACAACGAGAGGCAGGAGUACCCUGGAGUGUUCCCACAGCAUGAGGGCAGACUAUCACUGAUCACAUGAUGUCGAGGAGAGGCGAAGGAGGGGAGCCAAGGGAGACCAUGGAAUUGGGGAGUGACCUUGGAGGAAUUACCUGCAAGGAAGGGCAGGGCCAGUCAGAGUGGGAGGUGAGGGGCUCUGCAAGGCUCUUCAAGGCGUCUGACUGGUAAAGAUUUAGGCCAGAAGUCAGAGGAGUCUUGGGACCAGUGAAGAUCAGUUUGUUUAACAAUAAAUAGGACACCUGAAAUGCUAGAAGAAGGGAUUGAAGUUCCAGAGUUCGAGAGGGUGGAUUCAAUAGCUGUGCUCCAAAAAGAUACACCUCUGAGGAUGAUCUCAGGGAGGCUGUGUGCAGUUGUGGGGGUUGUGCACUGCAUCACCUGAGCACAGUGUAAUUGAGUACAAUGUAACUAUUCAGAUGUUACCCUAAAUUGCCCUCUUCCAGCAGUUCAGCUUCACUCAGCACAGGGAGGAGCGAGCACAUGGUUGGCCAAUGACAGUGCAAGGAUGGAGGGAGGGGCUUGCUCAACUUGAGGUCCAGGAGAGGGGAGUGAAGCGCUCCCCCUGGACCAGUCUCUGGACAACCCUGGCUGCGUCAUCUUGGACUUCUAUAACAUGGAGGCAGAUCACCAGCCUCUUUGGAGUUGGGGAGACUAGAUGUGCCAUCAGAGCUCGGUACUCACCUAGCAUAUAGCAAGACCCACAAGAAUAGGGAGCUCCCUCCUUGCCACCUGCACAGAAGGAGCAGAAUGAAGCAGGACCAGCUGCCUCGGCUGGGAAAGGUCCCCUACCCCCUUUCCAUGGCCACUGCCCCACCUCCUUCCAGGAGCCUACGCACACCCCAGGCCAGGACUGGUGCAGCCUCCCUCCCCAGCGGGGACCACUCUAGGAAAGGAGGAGGGGGCUGAGCGGUGGCUGCCACAGGGAAGAAGCAGACUGCUCUGCCACUUCCUCAGCACCUUGGUUGCCUGCUCCACGGAGGGGAGCUGACAUCCUUGUCUUGCCGGCCAGGGCAUGGAGGAAGUGGACCAGGAUGUAGCAGCAGCCGGCGCGGCAUUCGGCCAGCGUGUGGCUAGAAUGGCAACUAGCCCUCGUCGGGCAUUAACCACAUACAGAAUGCUCGCCGUGGCGCUAUCUCAGUAAGCCUCGCUCCACCUGAGCUAGGUGGUGGUUAUUCACCUGUUCUAGAGAUGAGGCUGACGAAGCCUGGAGAGAUCUACCGGCAUUGACCUUGGCCCAGAAGACUCCUCCGAACCAGCCCCUGCGACAGUACUCGUGUAACUCCCUGGGGAUGGUGGUAUGCCUUACCGUGAUUCUCCACCUGGGGUGAUUUUGUUUCCCAAGGAACAUUUGGCAGAAAUCUGAAGACAUUUUUGUUGUCAUAACCAUGGAGGAUGCUCCUGGCAUCUAGUGGGAAUAUGCUAGGAAUGCUGCUUAACACCCUAGAACCCACAGGUCAGCCCCCACAACAAAGAAUGGUCGGGCCCAAGCCGUCAGUAGAGCCGAGGUUGAGAAAAUCUCAUAUAGAACCCCGGCCUCACCGUUCGCUAGCUGUGCGACUUCCUUCCCUCUCCAAGCUUCAGGCUUCUCAUCUGCGAAGUUAAAUAACAUAGCCUAGGACGCUUAAGUGGUUCAGUUGGUUAAGCGUCUGCCUUUAGCUCAGGUCAAGAUCCCAGGGUACUGGGAUCGAGCCCCACAUUGGACACUUGGCUCGGUGGGGAGACAGCCCCCCUUACUUGUGCUCUCUUUAUCUCUCUGUGUCAAACAAAUAAAUAAAAUCGUAAAAAAAUAAUAAUAACGUGUCGAUAUGAAGUGCCUAGCACAGAUAAUAGGUGCUCAAAUUUAAUUAUGUCUGACCUAUCCUGGGAUGCAGGGGGAUUUAGUCUUCCUGAAAAAUGAGAGAACAUUUUUUUUUAGAUGUAUUUCUUGCUUCCAAGCAUAGCUGCUGCUAGUCAAGGUCCUAUCACAGCUAUGGAGAAUUUUUUUUAGUUUAUUUAUUUAUUUAAGUAAUCUCUACACCCAACAUGGGGGCUCAAACUCACCACCUCAGGAGAUAGAGAGUCGCAUGUUCUACUGACGGAGCCAGCCAGGCGCCCCAAAGCUGUGGAGAAUUAAAGUGUGUCCAUACCUCUUUUUUUCUCACCCCUAUUGCUUUUUUUUUUUUAAGACUUUAUUUAUUCGACAGAGAUAGAAACAGCCAGCG